AGUGAACGCUGGCGGUAGGCCUAACACAUGCAAGUCGAACGGCAGCACAGUAAGAGCUUGCUCUUACGGGUGGCGAGUGGCGGACGGGUGAGGAAUACAUCGGAAUCUACUUUUUCGGGGGGGAUAACGUAGGGAAACUUACGCUAAUACCGCAUACGACCUACGGGUGAAAGCAGGGGAUCUUCGGACCUUGCGCGAUUGAAUGAGCCGAUGUCGGAUUAGCUAGUUGGCGGGGUAAAGGCCCACCAAGGCGACGAUCCGUAGCUGGUCUGAGAGGAUGAUCAGCCACACUGGAACUGAGACACGGUCCAGACUCCUACGGGAGGCAGCAGUGGGGAAUAUUGGACAAUGGGCGCAAGCCUGAUACAGCCAUACCGCGUGGGUGAAGAAGGCCUUCGGGUUGUAAAGCCCUUUUGUUGGGAAAGAAAAGCAGCAGGUUAAUACCCCGCUGUUCUGACGGUACCCAAAGAAUAAGCACCGGCUAACUUCGUG
rnacentral:rRNA from 1 species